AUAUUGUGUCACACAGGACUGCUGGUAUUAAGCCGGGAGGAAGGUGGGGACGACGUCAAGUCAGCAUGACCUUUAUAUCCAGGGCUACACACACGCUACAAUGGUCAGUACAAUGGGUUGCCAAGCCGCGAGGCGGAGCCAAUCCUAAAAAGCUGGCCUCAGUUCGGAUUGCAGGCUGCAAUUCGCCUGCAUGAAGUCGGAAUCGCUAGUAAUCGCAGGUCAGCAUACUGCGGUGAAUACGUUCCCGGGCCUU
rnacentral:rRNA from 1 species